rnacentral:lncRNA from 1 species
GUGAAUUGUCAUCUAAUUGAGACUUAAGGGUGAAUUGAUGUGGGUCAGAUGAGGAACCGGAGCAAGAGCAUGCCAGUGCGAGAGAUCAGGGUUUGCACAGGCUGGAACACACCUUUGUGGAGGAGUGAAAGAAGCUGGAGGUUGGAAUGCAAGAGAUGGAGUGGCAUAUCUCAGUUUUGGAGGGAGUGACCUGCUUCGUCACUCUGGCUGUAGUGGACUGGAGGGAGUCCAGCCAGGUGCAGUUAGGACCUUAGGGGUAUGUGGAAGAACCUGUGAGAGGUUCCCUGAUUUCCUUGUUGAGCUUGCAUUGGAGGAUCAAUGGUGGCCUAUGGACAAGAGUUGAACUUUAGAACUGGUCAGACUUGUGUUUACCUUAUUCCCAGAAUAUUUCAGUCUGCUAUUUUUUUCUUUCAUGUAAUAAUGUGUUAAUUCAGAUUUUCUGAGAAGCAGACAUUAGAGUCUAGAGAUGGGAUAUGCAGUGCACGUCCAGUUGGAAGCAAUGACUGUGGCAGAUAAAGGAUUCCAUGUGUCACUCAGUCACAGCUGAGGGUGGUCUGUGGGAAGUGUGGCAUCCAGUGUGGCUGAUGGAUCCAGAGGGACAGCACCUGGAGCCAUUUGACAAGUAUAUUUCCACAGCAGUAGAUCUACCAGCCCAUAUCACAGUCUCC